CCUACGGGAGGCAGCAGUGAGGAAUAUUGGUCAAUGGCCGUAAGGCUGAACCAGCCAAGUCGCGUGAAGGAAGAAGGAUCUAUGGUUUGUAAACUUCUUUUAUAGGGGAAUAAAGGUAUCCACGUGUGGAUAUUUGCAUGUACCCUAUGAAUAAGCAUCGGCUAACUCCGUGCCAGCAGCCGCGGUAAUACGGAGGAUGCGAGCGUUAUCCGGAUUUAUUGGGUUUAAAGGGUGCGUAGGUUGUUUUUUAAGUCAGAGGUGAAAGUUUGUGGCUCAACCAUAAGAUUGCCGUUGAAACUGGAAGGCUUGAGUAUGUUUGAGGUAGGCGGAAUGCGUGGUGUAGCGGUGAAAUGCAUAGAUAUCACGCAGAACUCCGAUUGCGAAGGCAGCUUACUAAGCCAUAACUGACACUGAGGCACGAAAGCGUGGGGAUCAAACAGGAUUAGAUACCCCGGUAGUC
rnacentral:rRNA from 1 species